CGCUAAGCCAUAUAGAGCGCUGCUCCAAGCUCACAGCUGUGUCUUGUCUAUCUGUGGGAUGUGUGCUAGAGGAGUGCGAGAGGAGGGGUGUGUGUAAAUGGAAUGUGUCAGGGCUCUAAUUUGGUAUGGAGCUAUUUCACACUGGGCUGCAGCAUGCUGCAGACUGGUGAAUAACUACUGUGGUGGUGAGAUCAUACACUCUGACUGGAACAACUGAUCUAGGAUAAGUGAGCCCGGUGCAGACUGAUGUCUGCUCCAGCACUGUGAAAAGGACAACUGAACCUUUUCAGUCAGGAUCUACGCUCUCUACUCACAUCAUCACAUAGGUAAAGGAAUGGAAUGGACAGCAGACGGCAGAGAGUCCCUUGAGCUGAUGAGAGUGACACCAGCGCUUCCCCAGGGCUCCAGGGAUGCUGUCCCAGCACAUAGUAAAGAUGCCACAUUCCACACAGGAGAAUCAAUCUGAAGGUGGAAACUAAGGAGUUAGGCUGGCUGAAGUAAUGUAAUGCAUCCCAUAUGUAGGCAUUCCUGCACUGCCUGUAGUGUCUGUCAGCGUCUCAUAUUCUGGACCUUGAAGUUGAUUCCUCGGCAGCCAGUUGCAUCCUGGGAAGGCUGUUCCAUGGGUCCAGGCUGGGAGUGAAUCUCAAAUGUAUUUUCUUGAUUCCUUGUGUCCUUUCUCCUUGAUUCCUUCUCCAAGUUCAUUGGGGAACAAGGUCUAAGGGGAGGAAAAUUUGACCAUUUCUUCCAAUGUGUUUUGAGAAGGAGCGAGGAGAGAGGACAGGGGCAAUCAAGGAAAUACAAUUGAGAUUCACCCAGGGGCUCUCCUCCUGUCCUGCGUCGCCCUGCUCUCAUUGGCAGACCGAUCGUCAGCUCCAGCAGCUGCGUCUCUGUCUAUCUGUCGGCCUCACCCUCGGCCCCUCGGGACAUUUAGUUCUGCCUGCUCUGACUCUGGUCCCUGUCUCCCUGACUUCUCGUCAGUCCUGCUACUCUGCCCUGGAUUCCCCACUCUAUGCUCCCUUCAAUUCCCCUCCGGACCUGCUUACCCUGUCCCAACACCUCUCGCUCCAGCCUCAGCCUCCGCACCUGGUUUCCGGCAACCCGCCCGAGCUUCCCCUGGCCCGCACUCAAUCUUCCCCCCGUGCUUCAAUAAAUACCUUGGUUACCUCAUCCCAGUCUCCUCGUGUGAGUCUGCUCUUGGGUUCAGCUGUUCCGCUCCGUGUGACACUCCUAUAAGUGCAGAGGAGGCGGAGAGGGCCCUGUCUGAGCAUGUGUAUAUUAAGAUGUAUAUUAUGGGCAUGAUUAAAAUCGGUUUAUUUCUCAGAACAUUGUUUUACCGUCAUUCAUGCAGGGCUACAACUGCUUAUGUACACUUUGCAGAAAGCUAGUAAGGUAGGGAGGGCAGCAGAAAUGGACUGGCCAUUGGGCCGUUCGGGAAAAGGUCAGAUGGGCUGGUCCAUAUGUAGCUCAGUGGGCCUGUCUAAAUUGUUGUUUUGUGUGUGUAUCAGACCUGGGAUAACUACAGAUUUUAAUAUGCUUCGUGAG
rnacentral:lncRNA from 1 species